rnacentral:misc_RNA from 1 species
AACGCACAUUGCGCCCUUCGGUAUUCCGUUGGGCAUGCCUGUUCGAGCGUCAUUUAAACCUUCAAGCUCUGCUUGGUGUUGGGUGUUUGUUCCGCCUCUGCGCGUGGACUCGCCUCAAAUUCAUUGGCAGCCGGCGAGUUGGCUUCGUGCGCAGCACAUUUGCGCAUCGUCUCCAGCCCGUCUCCUCCCAUCAAGCCCCCCUUUAAAUUUUGACCUCGGAUCAGGUAGGGAUACCCGCUGAACUUAA